AAAUAACGAAUUUUAUCUCGGUAUCGCAGGUGGAUUCGCGCCUCCCGCUUCCCCUCCUGCGCCGCCGCCGCCACGCGCGACCCUGGCGGCGGCCGCCGCACCGGCGAGGACGCCCACGGAGGAGGCGGUCUUCGAGGCUGUGCUGCAGCAGGCUGCGCUGGUGCAGGAGGGCGCCGGUGUCAAGGGCGCGGCGGCGCUGCUCCUGCGGUGGGCGAGGAGAAGGAGGCCGAGGGGCUCUUCAGCGACGCCUAUGUCCGGAUGGCUCCUGUUUCUUUCGGGUCAGCGACCCAGCUGCAAUGUCCAGGUGCCGGUGUGCCGCGUACGCCGUCCGUGGCGGCCGCGCGGGGCAACCGGGCAACGGCACGCCGCCGCGCUGCCGCAGGCGGCACGGCCGGUGGGGAACAGCCUGGCGGGCGGCGUGGUAACCCAGCAAUGAAGAACGGAAGAGCGAAGAAGGGGAACUGAACCUAUUGGUGGAAAGGAAAUAUCUAUCAAUGAUCUUGUUAUUAAGGUUGCAUCUUCGGCUCUUCGAAAAAUCCUUCGUGUUGCAGCAGGAAAAUUGGAGCCAGUGAAGCACAGCGAGCAAGGUAACUACCCUAACCUGUUAGGAUUUCGGACACUACGAAUGUAGCCAUGUAGGAUUGUUGAUGGCUAGGUUGUCUGCAAUUGGGAAAUAAUAAGUGGCAUGGACAAUGAGUCAAUGACCAUGAUGAGAUAUUGUCUAAAUUAAAUUCAUAUUGUUUAGGGAUUUAACUAUUUUGCUGUUUAUCAAUUGGAAUUUUGAUUACCUAUUAUCAGACAAUCAACUCCACACCCAGCUACAUUGCAGAGAAUAUUCCAUAGCUUCCACACAGAUUACCUGUUCAUUUUUUUUUGUUUUUAAUACUGAACACUCCGUUUUCUUAUAGAUAUUUGCUUAUCUUCUCCAUUCUUGAGAUAACUGACAAUUAUAGCGCAAUACCACCUGGAGCAAAGUUUGAUAACUAGAGCAACUCAACUGAUCUGGUGCUUUGUUGGGAUGCCAUCUCUAUUCUAUCUCUUGGUUAUAAAGGACACAUUGAGAUGGUCUUAUAACUGAUUAUUUUUGUAUUUCAGAGAACAAAAUACAGUUUCCUCUUUUUUUUACUUCAAGCACUUUCAUUCUCUUGAGAUCUACUAAAUACGUAGAUCCAUGUGAUGCAUAGUAAAUUUGCCAUACUAAAUGUAUGUAAUCUGUGCUCAAGUCCUGAUUUAUUCUAUUUAUUUAUCUGACAUUGAACAUUUUCUUUCCAUUCCAUUUUUCUGAUAGUAUAUGGCAAGCUAUAAAAUCAUGGCUUGUUUAGAAUCUUAACCCUUGUUUUCCUUGCAGAUGUACACACUCUUGAUUUGGAAAUGAAGCCCAUGCCCAACUUCUAAAUGAUUUUGGUUUAAUCAUUGCUUGUUUAAUAUGUAAAUACAGGUCCAAGUGUGAAAUUGACCAAAAGUAUCGGACAGGAAGCUUGGGAACAAAAGGAGGUUUUGGCCCAUGUUUAUAUUGUUAUUCUGCAUGGAUUGGGCUGAGCUCUGAUAUAUGAUUCUCCGUUGGUGAAUCCGAGAUAUUUAAUUUUGGUUCAGCUGGUAAAUCGAGUCUUUUUUAGCCGGAGUGGUCUUGGUUGGCUGAACUUAAACUUUUGAGGCUACUAGAUAAAAGUUUCAUCUGACCAUGUCUGUUUGCCUUCACUACCUAAACAUUGACUUGUAGUCUUUUUCCAACUGUGCCAACUUCUAAAUGAUUUUGGUUUCAUCUUUACCUGUUUAAUAUGUAAAUACAGAUUCAAGUGGGAAAUUCACCAAAGUAUCGGACGUGAAGCUUGGGCACGAAAGAAUGUUUUGGCCAACUUAUCUGUUGGCUGCAGCAUGUCAGCUACUGAUCCUCGUGUGUUGAGGUAACAGGGGACUUUUGUUACCAUGGAAUGCUGGAAUUUUUGUCUGUAUAUUGUGGACUGUUUGAGAUCCUGUGUCUACCAGCUGUUGCGCCGAACUCUAGGAGGUCGUAGUGAAGUGAAACACCGCGCGCGCGGGGGGUGGGGCGGGGGUGACCUCUUAUUAUAUAGCCAAUAUGGCUUGGAGUACAAGAUGUACACAUGUGUGUACUACAAUAUACGGCGCGCGGUGCUGUACAUCAGAAAGUAAGUUUGCUGCUGCUAUCUCCAUGCCACAUCCAAAUGGUCGAGGUGGACCUGAGUGAACCGCGUAGGUAGACACAAAAUGGAUGCUCCACGAGCUUAUGGCUCGAGGGGUGCAGGGUGGCUGCCAUUAUUUUAGUUUUUUAAGAUACUUACCAUCAGUUUUGUAAAAGAAUUUUGGAGGUUAUACAAGGUAUAUUUCUCAAUCA